rnacentral:rRNA from 1 species
GUUAGGAAUAUUGGACAAUGGGCGAAAGCCUGAUCCAGCCAUGCCGCGUGAACGAUGAAGGCCUUCGGGUUGUAAAGUUCUUUAGCCGAUGAUUAUAAUGACUGUAGUCGGAAAAUAAGCCCCGGCUAACUUCGUGCCAGCAGCCGCGGUAAUACGAAGGGGGCGAGCGUUAUUCGGAAUCACUGGGCGUAAAGCGUGCGUAGGCGGUUUUGUAAGUUAGGAGUGAAAGCCCAGGGCUCAACCUUGGAAUUGCUCUUAAAACUGCAAGGCUCGAAUCUCGGAGAGGAUAGCGGAAUUUCCAGUGUAGCAGUGAAAUGCGUAGAUAUUGGAAGGAACACCAGUGGCGUAAGCGGCUAUCUGGACGAGUAUUGACGCUGAGGCACGAAAGCGUGGGGAGCAAACAGGAUUAGAUACCCCUGUAGUCC